GUAUUGAUUGCGUGUUAUCGCAAAAAUGGGGUCACUCUACACUUUUAAAAGGGGGGGUUUGUGUGAAAACGCGAGCCCCCUCCCGGAUCGGUUUGACCCUGAAGGGUGCCCACGCGGUGGUGCACAAAAGGGUGAGAUGGAUUUUAUGUGAGAGGACGCACUCCGGCGUGCACGACUUUUGUGUCUCAAAAAGUCAGCGACAGCCCUCGCACGCCUCACACAUGUUUGUACGAUAAUGAUCCUUCCGCAGGUUCACCUACGGAAA
rnacentral:misc_RNA from 1 species